ACAGCUGUGCACAAUAAUAAUAAUAAUAAUAAUAAUAAUAAUUUCACAAUCAAAUAUUGUGUUAUAUAUUAUCAUAGGAGUGCCAUUGUUUUGAAUAACAACACGACUGUGAUUUGGUUGAGGACACAAGGCUGUUAUAUUUGUGCUGCUAUCAGGAUUUCAUGAUCUACAGUACAGUUAAGUCUCUACAGCACGUCUGCAUGAUCUUGAGCAGUUUAAGCUCCUUCACAGCUCUGUUAUGGCGAAUGUUCAAAACAGGAUUCUUCAUCUGGAUCUCUCUAUCAUCAUUAUUUUCCUGAUUCAUGCAGAUUAUUCCAAAUCUAAUCAAGAGCAAAGGAUUCAGCAGCACAUCAACAAAACAGUGUUUGUGGGGGAAACAGUUACACUUCACUGCAACAAAACCCAACUUGAUGAUGAUUUCACAUGGAAAAUGAACAACUCUGUUAUUUUUAGGCAGGUCUCUGAUAUUAACAUAACUAAGACAAACUUCAGCUCAAACAGGAUUCACAUCGACCCCGCAGCUCCAAGAGAAUUAACAAUACAUCAAAUACAAGCGUCUGAUGCAGGAAACUACAGCUGUUACCCAGCAGCAAUAAGAUGGACAUUAACAAUAACAGAAAACACAACCACAUCAUCACUCAAACAAAUGCCGCUGCACAUCAUCUUCUCUUGUUUUGGAGUCAUUAUGAUCUGUCUGAUCAUCACCAUCAGCAUCUACAUUUACAGGAGCUGUAAAAACAACAAGCAGGGAGUUUCUCACAGAGAAAUGGAACAGGACAUUUCACAGGCACCACCCCGAGGAAGGAUACAGACUCAAAACAGUCAGUACUUAGAACGAUUCAACUCAGUGUAUGGACAAGUAUGA
ensembl:lncRNA